rnacentral:tRNA from 1 species
GGGGUUGUGGCUCAGUUGUAGUGCACUCAUCUGGCACGUGAGAGGCACUGGGUUCAAUUCUCAGCACCA